rnacentral:misc_RNA from 1 species
GAUGAAGAACGCAGCGAAAUGCGAUAAGUAAUGUGAAUUGCAGAAUUCAGUGAAUCAUCGAAUCUUUGAACGCACCUUGCGCCCUUUGGCCAUUCCGAAGGGCAUGCCUGUUUGAGUAUCAUGAACACCUCAACUCUUCAUGGUUUUCCGUGAUGAGCUUGGACUUUGGGGGUCUUGCUGGCCUAUGGUCAGCUCCUCUAAAAUAAAUCAGCUUGCCAGUGUUUGGUGGGUAUCACAGGUGUGAUAACUAUCUACGCUUGUGGUUUUCCACCAGGUAACCUUCAGCAGUGGAGGUUCGCUGGAGCUCACAGAUGUGCCUCUCCUCAGUGAGGACAGCUCUUUGAAUGUUUGAUCUCAAAUCAGGUAGGACUACCCGCUGAACUUAAGCAUAUCAAUAAGCGGAGGA